AUCCUUCUGUUGUACAUAAACAUGAUGAUUGUGUCUCAAUGCUCACGUGUGAUACGUGCCUCUCGCUAAAGUUAUUAUAACGUUGGCACAUUACCCUGUCUGACA